UACGUAGGUGACAAGCGUUGUCCGGAUUUACUGGGCGUAAAGAGCGCGCAGGCGGUCGUUCAAGUCGCGUGUGAAAGCCCCCGGCUCAACUGGGGAGGGUCACGCGAUACUGAUCGACUCGAAGGCAGGAGAGGGAAGUGGAAUUCCCGGUGUAGUGGUGAAAUGCGUAGAUAUCGGGAGGAACACCGGUGGCGAAGGCGGUUCUCUGGGCCUGUACUGACGCUGAGGAACGAAAGCGUGGGGAGCGAACAGG
rnacentral:rRNA from 1 species